rnacentral:lncRNA from 1 species
UGGACAUCACUAGGCAGAGAAAUGCCAACAUGGUGGCAAAAUAAGCGAACUAAGGUACAGAGAAGUUAAAUACUUACUGGUUGUGAGCAACACGUAAAGACUGAGAAACUGCAACUUAACAGAGGAAUCUACGGAGACAGAUGACUAAAUGCAAGAUGGUAUCCUGAAUUGGAUUAUGGGACAGUAAAAGCAUUAGUGGAAAUCUGGUGGAAUCUUGGUAAAGUGGACCUCAUCCAAUCAAUAGAAGACUUUAGAAAAAAGACUGAGAAAGAAGAGAAAGGACUUAAGAUGGCCUUCAGACUCCAGAUUGCAACAUCAAUUUCUGUUAGAACUUCCAGCAUGCUGGCCUGCCCUGCAAAUUUUGGAUUUGCCAGCCCCCACAAUUGUGUGAGCCAU